rnacentral:rRNA from 1 species
AGCGGCGGACGGGUGAGUAACGCGUGGGUAACCUGCCCUGUACACACGGAUAACAUACCGAAAGGUAUGCUAAUACGAGAUAAUAUAAGAGACUCACAUGGAUUUCUUAUCAAGGCUGAGGCGGUAUAGGAUGGACCCGCGUCUGAUUAGCUAGUUGGUAAGGUAACGGCUUACCAAGGCGACGAUCAGUAGCCGACCUGAGAGGGUGAUCGGCCACAUUGGAACUGAGACACGGUCCAAACUCCUACGGGAGGCAGCAGUGGGGAAUAUUGCACAAUGGGCGAAAGCCUGAUGCAGCAACGCCGCGUGAGUGAUGAAGGCCUUCGGGUCGCAAAACUCUGUCCUCAAGGAAGAUAAUGACGGUACUUGAGGAGGAAGCCCCGGCUAACUACGUGCCGGCAGCCGCGGUAAUACGUAGGGGGCUAGCGUUAUCCGGAUUUACUGGGCGUAAAGGGUGCGUAGGUGGUCUCUUAAGUCAGGAGUGAAAGGCUACAGCUUAACCGUAGUAAGCUCUUGAAACUGGGAGACUUGAGUGCAGGAGAGGAAAGUGGAAUUCCUAGUGUAGCGGUGAAAUGCGUAGAUAUUAGGAGGAACACCAGUAGCGAAGGCGGCUUUCUGGACUGUAACUGACACUGAGGCACGAAAGCGUGGGGAGCAAACAGGAUUAGAUACCCUGGUAGUCCACGCCGUAAACGAUGAGUACUAGGUGU